CAGAUGAAUAGGUUAUGUCGUAACAAGGUUUCCGUAGGUGA
rnacentral:rRNA from 1 species